AAUACACGAGAGGACCGUGUGUUCUACACAUGAAUUUGCGCAUGUUGUCAAUACAAAUCAAUAUCACGUGUAAAACAGAUGACAUGGCUCAUUCAAAACUGAGCAUUUUUUUAUAAACAAACCACACGGUAUUAACGUGUAAAGCAAAUCGAAUUCGGUUGCUCGACUUGUCAUAGUCGCUUGUUUGAUAUAUGAUAUCUAAGAAUAAUUGUGUUGAUUUUCAUUUGAAUUAUAGAAAAAAAAUCAAGUUGGUAAAAAUGUAAUAUCCACAGUGGGUGGUUGCAUUUAUUAUUUUAAAAGAAGUUGAACCACACCAACUAAUACUAUUUUAUGAGCUGAGGCCGGCGAUUUUGUCUUCGAACAGAUCACAAAAAAUUCAAGUUACCUACAUCUAAAAGAGCUGCUGCCGGAGAACAUGAUCGGUUCGGUGCUUAUUCCUGCUAGCAAGAAGCCGCCACGAAGUACAUACGUCGCAAAGGAUAGUCGGAAGAGGCCAGUA